CCUACGGGAGGCAGCAGUGAGGAAUAUUGGUCAAUGGGCUUACGCCUGACCCAGCCAAGUCGCGUGCGGGAAGACUGCCCUAUGAGUUGUAAACCUCUUUUGUCCGGGAGCAAUUGGCGCUACGUGUAGCGUUAUCGAGAGUACCUGCAGAAAAAGCAUCGGCUAACUCCGUGCCAGCAGCCGCGGUCAUACGGAGGAUGCGAGCGUUAUCCGAAUUUAUUGGGUUUAAGGGGUGCGUAGGCGGCAUGUCAAGUCAGCGGUAAAACCGCGGGGCUCAACCUCGCUCCGCCGUUGAAACUGGCGUGCUUGAGUGUGCGAGAAGUAGGCGGAAUGCGUGGUGUAGCGGUGAAAUGCAUAGAGAUCACGCAGAACACCGAUGGCGAAGGCAGCAUACCGGCGCCCAACUGACGCUGAAGCACGAAAGCGUGGGUAGCGAACAGGAUUAGAUACCCGAGUAGUC
rnacentral:rRNA from 1 species